rnacentral:lncRNA from 1 species
UGCGAAGAAUUCGAGAUAUACAUACAUUCGGGGUACGAAGGAAAAUGCACAGUCAUUGCAACAGACAGCAAUGCCAACAGCACAGACUACUGUCUUGAACGUUGUCUUGAGACGCCAUUGUGCAGAGGUACAACAUAUGAUGAAACUGCCUCGUUAUGUUCCCACCACGACAGUGUUUGUUCCACCAUGAACCCUGAUGGCAGCAAAACGUAUAUACAGCGGAGUUGUAUUGAUGAGCAACCUACUUGCACUCGGAGCCAUACCCAAACAUGUGUCAAUUGCAGAGCUGGAUAUCUGUGUCAUACAACUUUUUAUCAAAUGUUGGAAACGAAGCCUCUCUAUAUCAAUACGUCUGUUAUUGGAGUGAACCCAGAUGUAGAACAGAUAUGGUACAAAAGCAGUGGUUCGAGUUAUAUGUAUAUUCAAUGCUCAUACGUAACCCAAGCAAUAGGUGACACUGUUUACAGAGCAACGUGCACUCAAG